UUAGGUUAAGUUAUUAAGGGCGUAUGGUGGAUGCCUUGGCACUAGGAGCCGAUGAAGGACGUGACUAACUGCGAUAUGCUUCGGGGAGUUGUAAGUAAACUAUGAUCCGGAGAUUUCCGAAUGGGGAAACCUAACAGGUUUUACCGCCUGUUAUCACUAAGUGAAUUCAUAGCUUAGUUGAAGGUAGACGUGGGGAACUGAAACAUCUAAGUACCCACAGGAAGAGAAAGAAAUUCGAUUCCCUCAGUAGCGGCGAGCGAACCGGGAAGAGCCCAAACUAAGAAGCUUGCUUCUUAGGGUUGUAGGACUGAACAUCUGAGUUACCAAGAAAUGAAGUAGUUGAAUAAUCUGGGAAGAUUAGCCAAAGAGAGUGAUAGCCUCGUAAGCGAAACUUCGUUUCCUCAGUUCAGGAUCCUGAGUACGGCGGAACACGUGAAACUCCGUCGGAAUCCGGGAGGACCAUCUCCCAAGGCUAAAUACUACCUAGUGACCGAUAGUGAACCAGUACCGUGAGGGAAAGGUGAAAAGCACCCCGGGAGGGGAGUGAAAUAGUUCCUGAAACCAUAUGCCUACAAGUAGUCAGAGCUCGUUAAUGAGUGAUGGCGUGCCUUUUGUAGAAUGAACCGGCGAGUUACGUUAGCGUGCGAGGUUAAGGAGGAAAGUCCGGAGCCGUAGCGAAAGCGAGUCUGAAUAGGGCGAGAUAGUACGUUGACGUAGACCCGAAACCAGGUGACCUACCCAUGUCCAGGUUGAAGGUGCGGUAAAACGCACUGGAGGACCGAACCCGUGUAUGUUGAAAAAUGCUGGGAUGAGGUGUGGGUAGAGGUGAAAUUCCAAACGAACUUGGAGAUAGCUGGUUCUCUCCGAAAUAGCUUUAGGGCUAGCCUCGGAGUUAAGAAUCGUGGAGGUAGAGCACUGUUUGGACUAGGGGCCCGUCUUGGGUUACUGAAUUCAGAUAAACUCCGAAUGCCACAGAUUUAUAUCCGGGAGUCAGACUGCGAGUGAUAAGAUCCGUAGUCGAAAGGGAAACAGCCCAGACCACCGAUUAAGGUCCCAAAAUAUGUGUUAAGUGGAAAAGGAUGUGGAAUUGCAUAGACAACUAGGAUGUUGGCUUAGAAGCAGCCACCAUUUAAAGAGUGCGUAAUAGCUCACUAGUCGAGUGAUCCUGCGCCGAAAAUGUAACGGGGCUAAACACAUUACCGAAAUCGUGGAUGUACCGUAAGGUACAUGGUAGGAGAGCGUUCUAAGGACGGCGAAGCUAGACCGUAAGGACUGGUGGAGUGCUUAGAAGUGAGAAUGCCGGUAUGAGUAGCGAAAGAUCAGUGAGAAUCUGGUCCACCGUAUGACUAAGGUUUCCUGGGGAAGGCUCGUCCUCCCAGGGUUAGUCGGGACCUAAGCCGAGGCCGAGAGGCGUAGGCGAUGGAUAACAGGUUGAGAUUCCUGUACUGGUUAAACUUGUUUGAACAAUGGAGGGACGCAGGAGGCUAUCGAUGCGUACUGUUGGAUAUGUACGUUCAAGCAAUAAGUCUGUAG
rnacentral:rRNA from 2 species